rnacentral:tRNA from 1 species
AAAACUAUAGCUAAAUUUAGGCAUCAGAUUCUUACUCUGAGGGUGACUCUGUCUAGUUUUU